rnacentral:rRNA from 1 species
UACGAAGGGAGCUAGCGUUGUUCGGAAUCACUGGGCGUAAAGCGCACGUAGGCGGAUGUGUCAGUCAGGGGUGAAAUCCCGGAGCUCAACUUCGGAACUGCCUUUGAUACAGCACAUCUGGAGUCCGGAAGAGGUGGGUGGAAUUCCUAGUGUAGCGGUGAAAUGCGCAGAUAUCGGGAGGAACACCAAUUGCGAAGGCAGCUCGCUGGGACGUUACUGACGCUGAGACGCGAAAGCGUGGGGAGCAAACAGG